GACGAACGCUGGCGGCGUGCUUAACACAUGCAAGUCGAACGGAAAGGCCCUGCUUUUGUGGGGUGCUCGAGUGGCGAACGGGUGAGUAACACGUGAGUAACCUGCCCUUGACUUUGGGAUAACUUCAGGAAACUGGGGCUAAUACCGGAUAGGAGCUCCUGCUGCGUGGUGGGGGUUGGAAAGUUUCGGCGGUUGGGGAUGGACUCGCGGCUUAUCAGCUUGUUGGUGGGGUAGUGGCUUACCAAGGCUUUGACGGGUAGCCGGCCUGAGAGGGUGACCGGCCACAUUGGGACUGAGAUACGGCCCAGACUCCUACGGGAGGCAGCAGUGGGGAAUAUUGCACAAUGGGCGGAAGCCUGAUGCAGCAACGCCGCGUGCGGGAUGACGGCCUUCGGGUUGUAAACCGCUUUCGCCUGUGACGAAGCGUGAGUGACGGUAAUGGGUAAAGAAGCACCGGCUAACUACGUGCCAGCAGCCGCGGUGAUACGUAGGGUGCGAGCGUUGUCCGGAUUUAUUGGGCGUAAAGGGCUCGUAGGUGGUUGAUCGCGUCGGAAGUGUAAUCUUGGGGCUUAACCCUGAGCGUGCUUUCGAUACGGGUUGACUUGAGGAAUGUAGGGGAGAAUGGAAUUCCUGGUGGAGCGGUGGAAUGCGCAGAUAUCAGGAGGAACACCAGUGGCGAAGGCGGUUCUCUGGGCCUUUCCUGACGCUGAGGAGCGAAAGCGUGGGGAGCGAACAGGCUUAGAUACCCUGGUAGUCCACGCUGUAAACGGUGGGUACUAGGUGUGGGGUCCAUUCCACGGGUUCCGUGCCGUAGCUAACGCUUUAAGUACCCCGCCUGGGGAGUACGGCCGCAGGGCUAAAACUCAAAGGAAUUGACGGGGCCCCGCACAAGCGGCGGAGCAUGCGGAUUAAUUCGAUGCAACGCGUAGAACCUUACCUGGGUUUGACAUGGAUCGGGAGUGCACAGAGAUGGGUGUGCCUCUUUUGGGGUCGGUUCACAGGUGGUGCAUGGCUGUCGUCAGCUCGUGUCGUGAGAUGUUGGGUUAAGUCCCGCAACGAGCGCAACCCUUGUUCACUGUUGCCAGCACGUUAUGGUGGGGACUCAGUGGAGACCGCCGGGGUCAACUCGGAGGAAGGUGGGGAUGACGUCAAGUCAUCAUGCCCCUUAUGUCCAGGGCUUCACGCAUGCUACAAUGGCUGGUACAGAGAGUGGCGAGCCUGUGAGGGUGAGCGAAUCUCGGAAAGCCGGUCUCAGUUCGGAUUGGGGUCUGCAACUCGACCUCAUGAAGUCGGAGUCGCUAGUAAUCGCAGAUCAGCAACGCUGCGGUGAAUACGUUCCCGGG
rnacentral:rRNA from 1 species